AAGCAUAAUAUCGCUAAAAACAGCUUUUGACUCUCUACAGACUCAUUUAUUGAGUUUUGCUUGAUUCUAAGCUCAUUCCAAGUAGUAAAAGGUGUAAUUAGGUCUAAAAUGACAUAUGAAAAUAACUGUUUUUCAACCUUCAUCAAUUAUACAAGGAAGACUUAACAAUCCUGGAUCUUUCAUCUUAGGUGGAUGAUGUUCUUUUCUUGGCUGCACGGAUACUUCCUGUUCUUCCUUUUCUACGUCAAGAUCUAUUACCUCUUCAAUGUAAUUACUUUUCUUUGUAUAAACGGGAAUUUGAGGAUGACUUUCUUCCAUAGGUAUUGUAGUCAUAUGUCUAAAUAUUUCUCUCAUCUGCCCAUUAUGACUGUCCUUUCUUUUUUCAGCUUCUUCUAAUCCCUCUUCAUCUUUCUCUUCUUCACCAAACUCAUCAUUCUCACUUACCUCUUCUUCAUCACUGCUAAUCUCAAUCACUUCUUCCUCUGCUUUUCUUUUUUCCCUUAUUACAACAACACGACAUUCCUCCUUAGGAAUAACAUCAGUAUUAACCCUAGCUUGAUUCUUCUCUGUGUCUUCAAUCCU
rnacentral:lncRNA from 1 species